GUUCGAGCGUCAUUUCAACCCUCAAGCUCUGCUUGGUAUUGAGUCUAUGUCAGCAAUGGCCGGCUCUAAAAUCAGUGGCGGCGCCGCUGGGUCCUGAACGUAGUAAUAUCUCUCGUUACAGGUUCUCGGUGUGCUUCUGCCAAAACCCCCAAUUUUCUAUGGUUGACCUCGGAUCAGGUAGGGAUACCCGCUGAACUUAA
rnacentral:misc_RNA from 1 species